rnacentral:lncRNA from 1 species
GCAAACUUUAUCUUCUACUCACUGUCUUGGGACGCUUCCUCGGGUGCUGCAGUGCCAGUGUCGUCCUUUCUCAAGAGAUCAUCUGCCUGGAGUGUGGCCUUUGAGAGCCUCGGCGAGCUCGCGAUCAAGCUCCUCCGCAAAGUUCAUGGUCAUCCUACUCGGGAAUUCACAGGAGAAAACGCAAAGGUAUCAGGAAAGAGGAACGAUUUCACUGCUAGGUACCUCGUCCGCCACGUCGAGCGCCUCACUCGUUGUGUUGGUCGUCUCCAGUUGCUUCAUGGCCUGUGUAAAUGCUCUCCUCUACCUGGGGAAUGAAAGAAACAAAGAACACGAAGGACGGACUGAAAUGGAAGUUGAAUCUUCAUACCUGUAAGUGGGUUCUCGAUUUGACACAAGCGCUCGGCCUCGUCUUCCAGAAGCCUGGUAACAAUGGGAAGAAAAAAGAAGAGAUAUUUAACUAACUUGAGCAUAUCAA